CAGGCCGCUGGACACGCGUGGUGAAGCCGGCUCUGCGGGGCGUUAGUGAAGAUGCAUGCAGGAGGCAGGGCUUGCGGGCGCAGGGCAGCUGCCGGGACGUCCCCGCGUGUCCGUGGGGCCGGCUGAGCCGCGGCCGUGGAGCCUGGAGCCCGGGUUUGCGGAGGAGAACUGGAGACGGGUGUAGCAGCCGCCAUGAGUGAGGUUGCAAGAACCGCGGGCUGCUGAUGGCCAGGACCUGCAGCAGUGGUGACCUCCGGAGGUGUUGGUCCUUCCAGGCCCUGAGUCCUGGAGUCCUCCCGGAGUGUGGAGCUGUGACUGCUCACAAGGAUGUGCCAAGGACGAGAGAUGCCGAAGACCUGGCGAUUUGGGCACGCGGCACUGGAGCCUGUUCAGCCACUGGUGUGCCAGCCAGCAGGUGUACCUGACCCCUUUAAGGCACCUUCAUAAACUCCCCAACUGGAGUGUUCCCUGUACCUUUUAAUAAAUGCACUCUCAUCA